rnacentral:rRNA from 1 species
AUUGAACGCUGGCGGCAUGCUUUACGCAUGCAAGUCGAACGGUAACAGGCCGCAAGGUGCUGACGAGUGGCGAACGGGUGAGUAAUGCAUCGGAACGUGCCCAGUCGUGGGGGAUAACUACUCGAAAGAGUAGCUAAUACCGCAUACGAUCUAUGGAUGAAAGCGGGGGACCGUAAGGCCUCGCGCGAUUGGAGCGGCCGAUGUCAGAUUAGGUAGUUGGUGGGGUGAAGGCUCACCAAGCCAACGAUCUGUAGCUGGUCUGAGAGGACGACCAGCCACACUGGGACUGAGACACGGCCCAGACUCCUACGGGAGGCAGCAGUGGGGAAUUUUGGACAAUGGGCGCAAGCCUGAUCCAGCAAUGCCGCGUGCAGGAAGAAGGCCUUCGGGUUGUAAACUGCUUUUGUACGGAACGAAACGGCUCUGGUUAAUACCCGGGGCUAAUGACGGUACCGUAAGAAUAAGCACCGGCUAACUACGUG